CGCUGCUCCUUUAUCGGUUGAAAGCUGCGUGGUGGUGCCGCCCGGCCUUUAUCCUUCCCGUGCCUCCUUCCCGUCGGUAGUGGUGGAUGUUACUUCCGGCUCACCUCCUUCUCCUUUAUUUCUUGAGGACUACUUGUUCUUUCUGCUGCUGUUAAUCUCUAUUCCCGUGCAGUGCAAACCUCUUCCAAAUCCAAGGUAAUGUGCAAAUAUGAUGUCAGUGCCUAGACGGAACACUUUAGUAUACAAGACAACCAACAUAGAUCACAAGAAUAAAUUUCAUCUAUCUUGCUAUCGGUGGCUCUAAAGAAGACAUGAUAGGCAACUGAACUGGUGUGCAUGCUUGAAUUUAUGGAUUUAAGGUCCUCCAGAGCCCUAUAUAUACAUCUGUAUAACCUUUUUAAAAUUUCUUAUUGAAAACCAUGGAUCUUUAUAUGCUCAUCACAGUCUCAGUAGUUGGCCAUAAAUUAGUGGUUUCAGUUUAUUAAUCUAGCUGCAUGGUCUCUCUAAAAUUAGCAUGAUCAAGCUCCAAUGUGCGUAUUUAAACUACCUUUUGCCUUAUAGAGUUGUAGUGUGCAUUACUGUAGAUGACUGCAACUUGUUCUGAUUGAACUGGACAAGUUCCGAAGAAAUGUUAUUUUGUUGUUAACGUGCUCCUUUUUUAUUUAAUAUACUCCCAUGACAGAAAUGGCGUCGGAGAUUUUCCACGUUAAUGCUAAACACUGACUGU